rnacentral:rRNA from 1 species
CCUACGGGUGGCUGCAGUCGAGGAUCUUCGGCAAUGGGCGCAAGCCUGACCGAGCGACGCCGCGUGUGCGAUGAAGGCCUUCGGGUUGUAAAGCACUGUCGAGGGGGAGAAAAGCGCAAGCUUGAUCUAUCCCUGGAGGAAGCACGGGCUAAGUUCGUGCCAGCAGCCGCGGUAAGACGAACCGUGCGAACGUUGUUCGGAAUCACUGGGCUUAAAGGGCGCGUAGGCGGGCUGCAAAGUCCGGGGUGAAAUCCUCCCGCUCAACGGGAGAACGG